GCGACGACGACACAGUGCUGGUGAUUAUUCGCGACAUCUCCUCUCGCACAGCUAGGGCACACGACCUCCCACCGCCGGCCGUCUCUUCUUCCUCACCACCGGCCGACAGCUCUUCACUGCCGCACAGACCCCUCUCAGGAAUCGGGAAGUGCGGUGGUGGAUUUCGCCGGCGAUGACGACGCCCAACAACCUUCUCAACUGCGAGCCCACACCCUCCGCCCGACCCUCGGAGGCAGAGCCAUUACCUCGGCACGCCCAUCGCCACCCCUUCCUCCUCCUCUUCCUCCGCUGCCUAACUCCUUCAAGGGUUGCUGCUGCUGCCUCUUCCUACUCCUCACCUUCCUCCAAAUUGUUAACUCAUAUGAACACAUUGCAUCUUUGUUAACAUUUCAACGACUGAGGCUUCCUCCAAGUGUUUAACGUUGGGAACUUCAGAGUGGAACCACCAGGGUUAUUUCGUGGCCGAGGAGAGCAUCCAAAGAUGGGAAAACUAAAAAACAGAAUUAAGCCAAGAGAUAUUACAAUCAAUAUAGGAAAAGAUGCACCAAUUCCGGAAUGCUCAAUACCUGGUGAAAGAUGGAAAGAAGUAAAACAUGAUAAUAAUGUCACAUGGUUGGCAUUCUGGAAUGAUCCCAUAAAUCCAAAAGAGUUCAAGUAUGUCUUUCUGGCAGCGAGUAGUUCAUUAAAAGGGCAAAGUGACAAAGAGAAAUAUGAGAAAGCCAGGAUUAUAUACAAAAUAUUUGAAGAAACUAUACAAGAGAUUUUAAUAGUAAAGAUCCAACAAAGCGGCAAAUAGCAGUGGCAACUUACCUUUAUUGAUAAGCUGGCUCUCAGGGCAGGCAAUGAAAAGAAAUUGAUGAGGUGCGAUCGGAGUUGGCAGAAUGUAUGCAAGAUCAUGUUUAUGAGUAGGUGUGCUCAAGUUUAUGUUUACCACCCUAACAUCAUUUCAAACAGAAGCAUCUGCAUUGACCAUCUCCAAGGUUCUCUCGAUUUGCUCUCUUCUGACCGACUCAAAUCCGGACGACCCUCUUGUUCCUGAGAUCAUCCACAGUUAAAGCUAGAUUUCGUAUCUAAGUAAUUAAACAUAAGCUUCUAAAGAAUAUAAGAAAAAUAAACCAAGUUCAUAAAAUAGUGUAUUAUUCGAUAAGAUUAUUUUGUAUUUCUCAAUCCAAAUUUAUUAUUGUAUGGUGUGAACUGUGACCUUUGUUUCAGCUUUUACCACCUAAAAUUUCUUUUGCAUAAUAUUAAUGGCAUUGUUUUAUGUGACAGAUACACUGUGGUAGGUGUUUUGUCCCAGUCUCAAGCCGACAAUCCUUUUUGAUCAGUAUAUCUAGUAAAAGUAAGCAUGCAGAUUGUUGUCUUCGAGGUCGGCUAGCUAUUUUAUACUUUUUUUUGUUUAAAUUCGAAUGUCACUAUCUACUUUGAAACAGAACUAUUUAGUCUUUGUGUAUAGUUGAAUUCUCCUGUAAAUACUAAUACUUUGUAAUUGAAUUCUAUUGUUUUGG